AUGAACGCUGGCGGCGUGCCUAAUACAUGCAAGUCGAGCGAACGGACGAGAAGCUUGCUUCUCUGGUGUUAGCGGCGGACGGGUGAGUAACACGUGGAUAACCUACCUAUAAGACUGGGAUAACUUCGGGAAACCGGAGCUAAUACCGGAUAAUAUUUUGAACCGCAUGGUUCAAAAGUGAAAGACGGUCUUGCUGUCACUUAUAGAUGGAUCCGCGCUGCAUUAGCUAGUUGGUAAGGUAACGGCUUACCAAGGCAACGAUGCAUAGCCGACCUGAGAGGGUGAUCGGCCACACUGGAACUGAGACACGGUCCAGACUCCUACGGGAGGCAGCAGUAGGGAAUCUUCCGCAAAGGGCGAAAGCCUGACGGAGCAACGCCGCGUGAGUGAUGAAGGUCUUCGGAUCGUAAAACUCUGUUAUUAGGGAAGAACAUAUGUGUAAGUAACUGUGCACAUCUUGACGGUACCUAAUCAGAAAGCCACGGCUAACUACGUG
rnacentral:rRNA from 1 species